UACGUAGGGUGCAAGGCGUUGUCCGGAAUUAUUGGGCGUAAAGGGUGCGUAGGCGGCGGAGUAAGUUGGGUGUGAAAUCCCGGGGCUCAACCUCGGAAUGGCAUUCAAUACUGCUUCGCUAGAGUACUGGAGAGGAGGCUGGAAUUUACGGUGUGAGCAGUGAAAUGCGUAGAUAUCGUAAGGAAGCCGGUGCGAAAGCGAGCCUCUGGACAGUUACUGACGCUGAAUGCAC
rnacentral:rRNA from 1 species